rnacentral:rRNA from 1 species
GUGAAAGGCCAAUCAAACUUCGUGAUAGCUGGUUCUCUCCGAAAUAUAUUUAGGUAUAGCGUUGUGUCGUAAUAUAAGGGGGUAGAGCACUGAAUGGGCUAGGGCAUACACCAAUGUACCAAACCCUAUCAAACUCCGAAUACCUUAUAUGUAAUCACAGCAGUCAGGCGGCGAGUGAUAAAAUCCGUCGUCAAGAGGGAAACAACCCAGACUACCAGCUAAGGUCCCUAAAUCUUACUUAAGUGGAAAACGAUGUGAAGUUACUUAAACAACCAGGAGGUUGGCUUAGAAGCAGCCAUCCUUUAAAGAAAGCGUAAUAGCUCACUGGUCUAGUGAUUUUGCGCGGAAAAUAUAACGGGGCUAAAGUAAGUACCGAAGCUGUAGACUUGCGCACAACUUAGAUUAUUUAAGUUUAGAAUAUGAGAAACUAAGUUAUAUGUUUAGUUAUAUUUUUACUGAUUUUUAUAGAGUAAAGAUAGAAAUAAAACUUAGUAAAAUCAGUAAAAAUAUUCUUAGACUAAAGUUAAGUAGUUUAAGUUGUGUGCAAGUGGUAGGAGAGCGUUCUAUUUGCGUCGAAGGUAUACCGGUAAGGAGUGCUGGAGCGAAUAGAAGUGAGCAUGCAGGCAUGAGUAGCGAUAAUUAAUGUGAGAAUCAUUAACGCCGUAAACCCAAGGUUUCCUACGCGAUGCUCGUCAUCGUAGGGUUAGUCGGGUCCUAAGUCGAGUCCGAAAGGGGUAGACGAUGGCAAAUUGGUUAAUAUUCCAAUACCAACAUUAGUGUGCGAUGGAAGGACGCUUAGGGCUAAGGGGGCUAGCGGAUGGAAGUGCUAGUCUAAGGUCGUAGGAGGUUAUACAGGCAAAUCCGUAUAACAAUACUCCGAGAACUGAAAGGCUUUUUGAAGUCUUCGGAUGGAUAGAAGAACCCCUGAUGCCGUCGAGCCAAGAAAAGUUUCUAAGUUUAGCUAAUGUUGCCCGUACCGUAAACCGACACAGGUGGGUGGGAUGAGUAUUCUAAGGCGCGUGGAAGAACUCUCUUUAAGGAACUCUGCAAAAUAGCACCGUAUCUUCGGUAUAAGGUGUGGUUAGCUUUGUAUUAGGAUUUACUCCGAAAGCAAGGAAACUUACAACAAAGAGUCCCUCCCGACUGUUUACCAAAAACACAGCACUCUGCUAACUCGUAAGAGGAUGUAUAGGGUGUGACGCCUGCCCGGUGCUCGAAGGUUAAUUGAUGGGGUUAGCAUUAGCGAAGCUCUUGAUCGAAGCCCGAGUAAACGGCGGCCGUAACUAUAACGGUCCUAAGGUAGCGAAAUUCCUUGUCGGUUAAAUACCGACCUGCAUGAAUGGCGUAACGAGAUGGGAGCUGUCUCAAAGAGGGAUCCAGUGAAAUUGUAGUGGAGGUGAAAAUUCCUCCUACCCGCGGCAAGACGGAAAGACCCCGUGGACCUUUACUACAGCUUGACACUGCUACUUGGAUAAGAAUGUGCAGGAUAGGUGGGAGGCUUUGAGUAUAUGACGCCAGUUGUAUAUGAGCCAUUGUUGAGAUACCACUCUUUCUUAUUUGGGUAGCUAACCAGCUUGAGUUAUCCUCAAGUGGGACAAUGUCUGGUGGGUAGUUUGACUGGGGCGGUCGCCUCCCAAAUAAUAACGGAGGCUUACAAAGGUUGGCUCAGAACGGUUGGAAAUCGUUCGUAGAGUAUAAAGGUAUAAGCCAGCUUAACUGCAAGACAUACAAGUCAAGCAGAGACGAAAGUCGGUCUUAGUGAUCCGGUGGUUCUGUGUGGAAGGGCCAUCGCUCAAAGGAUAAAAGGUACCCCGGGGAUAACAGGCUGAUCUCCCCCAAGAGCUCACAUCGACGGGGAGGUUUGGCACCUCGAUGUCGGCUCAUCGCAUCCUGGGGCUGGAGCAGGUCCCAAGGGUAUGGCUGUUCGCCAUUUAAAGCGGUACGCGAGCUGGGUUCAGAACGUCGUGAGACAGUUCGGUCCCUAUCUGCCGUGGGCGUAAGAAGAUUGAAGAGAUUUGACCCUAGUACGAGAGGACCGGGUUGAACAAACCACUGGUGUAGCUGUUGUUCUGCCAAGAGCAUCGCAGCGUAGCUAAGUUUGGAAAGGAUAAACGCUGAAAGCAUCUAAGCGUGAAGCCAACUCUAAGAUGAAUCUUCUCUAAGCUCUCUAGAAGACUACUAGUUUGAUAGGCUGGGUGUGUAAUGGAUGAAAGUCCUUUAGCUGACCAGUACUAAUAGAGCGUUUGGCUUAUCUUUAAUAAAGCAU